CCUACGGGGUGCAGCAGUGAGGAAUAUUGGUCAAUGGACGAGAGUCUGAACCAGCCAAGUAGCGUGAAGGAUGACUGCCCUAUGGGUUGUAAACUUAUUUUAUUAAGGAAUAAAACGAGGCACGCUUGCCUUUUUGCAUGUACUUUAUGACUAAGGGUCGGCUAACUCCGUGCAAGCGGCCGCGGUAAUACGGAGGAUACGAUGGUUAUCCGGAUUUAUUGGGUUGAAGGGGAGCGUGGAUGGGUUGUUAAGUCAGUUGUGAAAGUUUGCGGCUCAAACGUAAAAUUGCAAUUGAUACUGGCAGUCUUGAGUACAGUUGAGGUAGGCGGAAUUCGUGGUGUAGCGGUGAAAUGCUUAGAUAUCACGAAGAACCCCGAUUGCGAAGGCAGCUUACUAAACUGUGACUGACAUUGAUGCUCGAAAGUGUGGGUAUCAAACAGGAUUAGAUACCCUUGUAGUC
rnacentral:rRNA from 1 species